rnacentral:ncRNA from 1 species
CAAAGGUUUGGUCCUAGCCUUGAGAUCAAUUAUUACUUAAUAUACACAUGCAAGUCUCCGCACCCCUGUGAAAACGCCCUUAAAUCCCCAGUAGGGAUAAGGAGCUGGUAUCAGGCACGAAACUCUGCCCAAGACACCUAGCUAUGCCACACCCACAAGGGAACUCAGCAGUGAUUAACAUUGAAUAUAAGCGACAGCUUGACUCAGUUAAAGUAAAAAGAGCCGGCAAAUCUGGUGCCAGCCGCCGCGGUUACACCACGUGGCUCAAACUGAUCUCCAUCGGCGUAAAGCGUGCUUUAAGUCACACUAAAUUGAAGUUGAACUUAAACUAAGCUGUGACACGCUUGUUUUUAAGAAACUCAUAAACGAAAGUUACUUCAAUUAAAUCAACUUGAACUCACGACAGUUGGGGAACAAACUGGGAUUAGAUACCCCACUAUGCCUAACCGUAAACUUUAAUUUACACCUAUAUCGCCCGGGAACUACGAGCAAAGCUUAAAACCCAAAGGACUUGACGGUACCCCAAAUCCACCUAGAGGAGCCUGUCCUAUAAUCGAUAACCCCCGUUUAACCUCACCAUUUCUAGUUAAUCAGCCUGUAUACCUCCGUCGUCAGCUUACCACGUGAGCGAACAUAAGUGAGCUUAAUGCCCCUACACCAAUACGUCAGGUCAAGGUGCAGCAAAUGUAAUGGGAAGAGAUGGGCUACACUCUCUAAUAUAGAGAAUACGAAAGGCUACAUAUGAAAACUAGCCGGAAGGCGGAUUUAGAAGUAAAAAGAAACAAGAGUGUCCUUUUUAACUCGGCACUGGGGUGUGUACACACCGCCCGUCACCCUCUUCAAAGCUAACAAACAGUAUAUAACUAACUUAUGCAAUAUAGAAGAGGCAAGUCGUAACAUGGUAAGUAUACCGGAAGGUGUGCUUGGAAA